GACCUGAAGUGAUGAUUAGGAAUUCAUGUCUCUUCUCUGAAAUGAACCAUGGAGACACUUUGAUCCAAUUUUGAUCAGGAUC